rnacentral:RNase_P_RNA from 1 species
AGAUGCAGCAAGGCGGCUGCUCAUGAAUGAACCUCAUCCAUGGGAGGAAAGUCCGAGCACGAAAGAACACGGCGGUGGGUAACCCCCACCCGUCUCAAAACCGACCUCAUCGAAAGAUCAGAAUCGGCGGCUGGAGACGAGGGAAAGUGCCACAGAAAACAAACCCCCGAUGGCCAGGUAGAACGGGCUUCCAGCCCGUUUCCAACUCGGCACAGGGAAGGGUGAAAAGGUGCGGUAAGAGCGCACCGCCCGAUUGGUGACAAUCGGGGCAAGGUAAACCCCGCCGCGUGCAAGCCCAAGCAGAUCCUCUCACCUCCGGGUGAAUCCCUUGUUCGGGGACCGCAGGAUCGGGUAGGGUGCUGGGAGCAUCACGCUCCUCAUCGCAUUGGCAACACUGCGAGCAGAGAAAUAGUCGCCCAGUUGGUCAGGUCCGAUCCAGCCCCCGUCAAAAGGAAGAUCGGAAACCACCCAACGGACAAAACUCGGCUUACCAGUUGCAUCCAGCC